rnacentral:rRNA from 1 species
UACGUAGGGUGCAAGCGUUGUCCGGAAUUAUUGGGCGUAAAGAGCUCGUAGGCGGUUUGUCGCGUCUGCCGUGAAAGUCCGGGGCUCAACUCCGGAUCUGCGGUGGGUACGGGCAGACUAGAGUGAUGUAGGGGAGACUGGAAUUCCUGGUGUAGCGGUGAAGUGCGCAGAUAUCAGGAGGAACACCGAUGGCGAAGGCAGGUCUCUGGGCAUUAACUGACGCUGAGGAGCGAAAGCAUGGGGAGCGAACAGG